CAAGUAGACUGAGUAGUCGCGAAGCGUGUUUACGCUUUCGAGGAAAGUCCGGGCUCCAUAGGGCAGAGUGCUGGUUAACAACCAGUCGGGGCGACCCGAAGGAAAGUGCCACAGAGAUAUACCGCAAGCGAUGCUUGCAAGGGUGAAAAGGUGAGGUAAGAGCUCACCAGCAACUAGGCGACUAGUUUGGCUAGGUAAACCCCACUCGGAGCAAGACCUAAUAGGGGAGAGUUAAGAGUUGCUCGCUCGUUCUCCCGGGUUGGUCGCUACGCGCACUUACGUGCGGAUGAGGUAUGCGGUAACGUAUGUCCUAGAUAGAUGACUACUACCGCGCAAGCGGGACAGGACCCGGCUUAUAGGUCUACUUGACAA
rnacentral:RNase_P_RNA from 1 species